rnacentral:rRNA from 1 species
CCUACGGGUGGCAGCAGUGGGGGAUAUUGCACAAUGGGGGAAACCCUGAUGCAGCGACGCCGCGUGUGGGAAGACGGUCCUCUGGAUUGUAAACCACUGUCCCCAGGGACCAAGAUGACGGUACCUGGGGAGGAAGCUCCGGCUAACUACGUGCCAGCAGCCUCGGUAAUACGUAGGGAGCGAGCGUUGUCCGGAAUUACUGGGGGUAAAGGGAGCGUAGGCGGGACUGCACGUUGGGUGUCAAAUCUACCGGCUCAACCGGUAGCCGCACUCAAAACUGCAGUUCUUGAGUGAAGUAGAGGCAGGCGGAAUUCGUAGUGUAGCGGUGAAAUGCGUAGAUAUUAGGAGGAACACCAGUGGCGAAGGCGGCCUGCUGGGCUUUUACUGACGCUGAGGCUCGAAAGUGUGGGGAGCGAACAGGAUUAGAUACCCGGGUAGUC